rnacentral:rRNA from 1 species
ACCUGGAUAACCGUGGUAAUUCUAGAGCUAAUACAUGCUAAAAAUCCCGACUUCGGAAGGGAUGUAUUUAUUAGAUUAAAAACCAAUGCCCUUCGGGGCUCCUUGGUGAUUCAUAAUAACUUAACGAAUCGCAUGGCCUUGCGCCGGCGAUGGUUCAUUCAAAUUUCUGCCCUAUCAACUUUCGAUGGUAGGAUAGUGGCCUACCAUGGUCUCAACGGGUGACGGAGAAUUAGGGUUCGGUUCCGGAGAGGGAGCCUGAGAAACGGCUACCACAUCCAAGGAAGGCAGCAGGCGCGCAAAUUACCCAAUGCUAAUUCAGCGAGGUAGUGACAAUAAAUACUGAUACAGGGCUCUUUCGGGUCUUGUAAUUGGAAUGAGUACAAUCUAAAUCCCUUAACGAGGAACAAUUGGAGGGCAAGUCUGGUGCCAGCAGCCGCGGUAAUUCCAGCUCCAAUAGCGUAUAUUAAAGUUGUUGCCGUUAAAAAGCUCGUAGUUGAACCUUGGCUUUGGCUGAUCUGUCCUCCUAAUCGAGCGCACGGAUUCGGUCGGAGCUUUCCUUCUGGGGAACCCGAUGCCCUUCACUGGGCGUCGUGAGGAACCAGGACUUUUACCUUGAAAAAAUUAGAGUGUUCAAAGCAGGCCUUUGCUCGAAUACAUUAGCAUGGAAUAAUAGAAUAGGACAUCGGUUCUAUUUUGUUGGUUUCUAGGACCGCUGUAAUGAUUAAUAGGGAUAGUCGGGGGCGUCAGUAUUCAAUUGUCAGAGGUGAAAUUCUUGGAUUUAUUGAAGACUAACUACUGCGAAAGCAUUCGCCAAGGAUGUUUUCAUUAAUCAGUGAACGAAAGUUAGGGGAUCGAAGACGAU